rnacentral:rRNA from 1 species
GACGAACGCUGGCGGCGUGCUUAACACAUGCAAGUCGAACGGAAAGGCCCCUUUGGGGGUACUCCAGUGGCGCACGGGUGAGUAACACGUGAGUAACCUGCCCUUGACUUCGGGAUAACUUCAGGAAACUGGGGCUAAUACCGGAUAGGAAUCCUUGCUGCAUGGUGGGGGUUGGAAAGCUUCGGCGGUUUUGGGUGGACUCGCGGCGUAUCAGCUUGUUGGUGGGGUAGUGGCUUACCAAGGCUUUGACGGGUAGCCGGCCUGAGAGGGCGACCGGCCACAUUGGGACUGAGAUACGGCCCAGACUCCGACGGGAGGCAGCAGUGGGGAAUAUUGCACAAUGGGCGGAAGCCUGAUGCAGCAACGCCGCGGGCGGGAUGACGGCCUUCGGGUUGUAAACCGCUUUCAGCAGGGGCGAAGCUUGUGGUGACGGUACCUGCAGAAGAAGCACCGGCUAACUACGUG